rnacentral:rRNA from 1 species
GGGAUAGUAUUAUUGAUUUUUUUUAUAAUUAUUUUUUGAAUGAAAUAAUAAAUGGUUUAAUUAAUUUUGAAAAAAUAUUUUUUAUAAUAGUGUAAAGUAAUGUGAAUGGAUUGUGUAUUUGGUUUAAAAGAAUAAUUUGUUAUUAGUACCUUGUGUAUCAGGGUUGAUUAAUUUUUAAAUAAGAAUUUAUUUUUCUCGAAAUUAUAAGAGUUAAUUUUAAAUAAAUUUUAUUGUGAAAUAAAUAUUUAUAAUUUAAAGUUAGAAAUGAAAGGUUAGUCGUUUAUAAUAUAUCUAGUUUCUUUAGAUAAAAAUUUAAUUUUGGAGUUAAAAUAUUAAUAAGUAAUUUGUUUAAAUUUAUUAAUUUUAAUAUCUUAAAAAUAAGGGGAUAAGCUUUUAUUUGUUAUAUAAUUUAAAAUUUGUAAAAUGAAUAAUAUGAAUAGAAAUUUUAAUUUUUAAAAGUAUGUUUUAAUAUAUCAUUUUUUUUUUAUGAUUUUUUAUUUUUUAUAUUUUUUAUAAAGAUAGAAGAUUUAAUUUUUAAAUCUUUGUAAUAAUGAUUAAAUUAGUAUAUUUUUUUGUUUUGUUAAGUAAUUGGUUGAGAUUAAAUUAAGGAAUUCGGCAAAAAUUGCUUUCACCUGUUUAUUAAAAACAUGUCUUUUUGUUUAUGAUUUAAAGUCUGGCCUGCCCUCUGAUUAAUUGAAUGGCCGCAGUAUUUUGACUGUGCAAAGGUAGCAUAAUCAUUAGUUUUUUAAUUGAGAGCUGGAAUGAAAGGUUUGAUGAAAAGUAAGCUGUCUAUAUUUAAAUAAUAAAAUUUUAAUUUUAAGUGAAAAUGCUUAAAUUUUUAAUAAAGACGAGAAGACCCUAUAGAGUUUUAUAUUGAUAUUAAAUAAAAAUUUAUGAAAAUUUAAUUUUUAUUUUUUAUUAGUAUUUGAUUGGGGUGAUUUUAAAAUUUUAAACUUUUAAAUUAUUUUUACAUGAAUUAAUGGAUUAUUGAUCUUUUUUCUUGAUUAAUAGAUAAAUUACCUUAGGGAUAACAGCGUAAUUUUUUUUGAAAGUUCAUAUUGAAAAAAAAGUUUGCGACCUCGAUGUUGGAUUAAAAUUAAUUUAAGGUGUAGAAGCUUUAAUAUUAGGUCUGUUCGACCUUUAAAAUUUUACAUGAUCUGAGUUUAGACCGGUGUGAGCCAGGUUGGAUUCUAUCUUGUUAAAGUAUGGAAUUUUUUAGUACGAAAGGACCAAAAAUUUGAAUUAAAUUUUUUUAAUUGAAUAUUAUU